rnacentral:tRNA from 1 species
GCAUACGCUUCAACGUGGGAAAAUGCCGUUUUUUCCCGCCUUGUAAGCGGUAGGUCAUCUGUUCGAGUCAGAUUGUCGGCACCA